CUCACAUUAAAGUUCACAAUUAUGAGAGGUGGGUCCACAGUUAUAGAGACCCAUUAUUCUGUUUUGAAAUUUGCGCAAUACAUUUGGGCUCAUCCAAUUGCAGGGCGGCACGUACCAGGAACCUUCAGGUUCUAUUUAUGAACACAGGAUGCAUUUUGAAAAGGACAAAGCAUUAGCUCGACGAUUCCAACCUGUGUUGAUUGGUCCCAAGCCCGGGUAAGGGAGGAGGGAAAAGGGCGUUAAGAUCAAUCCGAGGCCAUGACAAUGCCAAGAACAACCACCUAGUGACUUCUCUAAUGCUCAGUUCUGGUUUCUGGAGCGACUACUUGUUGUCCAUGGGCACUAGUGCUAUAAGAGGAUUACCCAAAUGG